UGACUCAUGAUGAGCUAUGUUGUCUGAAGUGAAUGACGUGAAGGUCACCCGAAAACUCUGAAGUCC
rfam:Myotis davidii contig76242, whole genome shotgun sequence.